AACGAACGCUGGCGGCGUGCCUAACACAUGCAAGUCGGGGGAGAAAGGGAGCUUCGGCUCCCGAGUAAACCGGCGCACGGGUGAGUAAUACGUAGGUAACGUGCCCACGAGCCCGGGAUAACCAGUCGAAAGAUUGGCUAAUACCGGAUACGACCGAGAGGGCUUCGGCUCUCACGGUGAAAGAUGGCCUCUGCUUGCAAGCUAUCACUCAUGGAGCGGCCUGCGCACCAUUAGCUAGUUGGUGAGGUAACGGCUCACCAAGGCCGAGAUGGUUAGCUGGUCUGAGAGGAUGGCCAGCCACACUGGGACUGAGACACGGCCCAGACUCCUACGGGAGGCAGCAGUGGGGAAUAUUGCGCAAUGGGCGAAAGCCUGACGCAGCGACGCCGCGUGGGUGAUGAAGGCC
rnacentral:rRNA from 1 species